UACGGAGGGAGCUAGCGUUAUUCGGAAUUACUGGGCGUAAAGCGCACGUUAGGCGGCUUUGUAAGAUAACGAGGUGAAAAGCCCAGAGCUUCAACUCUGGAAUUGCCUUUUAGACUGCAUCGCUUGAAUCAUGGAGAGGUCAGUGGAAUUACCGAGUGUAGAGGUGAAAAUUCGUAGAUAUUCGGAAGAACACCAGUGGCGAAGGCGGCUGAC
rnacentral:rRNA from 1 species